rnacentral:rRNA from 1 species
AUUGAACGCUGGCGGCAGGCCUAACACAUGCAAGUCGAACGGUAACAGGAAGCAGCUUGCUGCUUCGCUGACGAGUGGCGGACGGGUGAGUAAUGUCUGGGAAGCUGCCUGAUGGAGGGGGAUAACUACUGGAAACGGUAGCUAAUACCGCAUAAUGUCGCAAGACCAAAGAGGGGGACCUUCGGGCCUCUUGCCAUCGGAUGUGCCCAGAUGGGAUUAGCUUGUUGGUGGGGUAUCGGCUCACCAAGGCGACGAUCCCUAGCUGGUCUGAGAGGAUGACCAGCCACACUGGAACUGAGACACGGUCCAGACUCCUACGGGAGGCAGCAGUGGGGAAUAUUGCACAAUGGGCGCAAGCCUGAUGCAGCCAUGCCGCGUGUAUGAAGAAGGCCUUCGGGUUGUAAAGUACUUUCAGCGGGGAGGAAGGGAGUAAAGUUAAUACCUUUGCUCAUUGACGUUACCCGCAGAAGAAGCACCGGCUAACUCCGUG